ACGGAAGGCAGCAGUGGGGAAUAUUGCACAAUGGGGGAAACCCUGAUGCAGCGACGCCGCGUGAGUGAAGAAGUAUUUCGGUAUGUAAAGCUCUAUCAGCAGGAAAGAAAAUGACGGUACCUGACUAAGAAGCCCCGGCUAACUACGUGCCAGCAGCCGCGGUAAUACGUAGGUGGCAAGCGUUAUCCGGAUUUACUGGGUGUAAAGGGUGUGUAGGCGGGAUUGCAAGUCAGAUGUGAAAAUUAUGAGCUUAACUCAUAACCUGCAUUUGAAACUGUAGUUCUUGAGAGUCGGAGAGGUAAACGGAAUUCCUGGUGUAGCGGUGAAAUGCGUAGAUAUCAGGAGGAACACCGGUGGCGAAGGCGGUUUACUGGACGACAACUGACGCUGAGACACGAAAGCGUGGGGAGCAAACAGGAUUAGAUACCCUGGUA
rnacentral:rRNA from 1 species